UGGGGAAUAUUGGACAAUGGGCGAAAGCCUGAUCCAGCCAUGCCGCGUGCGUGAAGAAGGUCUUCGGAUUGUAAAGCACUUUAAAUUGGGAGGAAGGGCAGUAAGUUAAUACCUUGCUGUUUUGACGUUACCGACAGAAUAAGCACCGGCUAACUCUGUGCCAGCAGCCGCGGUAAUACAGAGGGUGCAAGCGUUAAUCGGAAUUACUGGGCGUAAAGCGCGCGUAGGUGGUUUGUUAAGUUGGAUGUGAAAUCCCCGGGCUCAACCUGGGAACUGCAUCCAAAACUGGCAAGCUAGAGUAUGGUAGAGGGUGGUGGAAUUUCCUGUGUAGCGGUGAAAUGCGUAGAUAUAGGAAGGAACACCAGUGGCGAAGGCGACCACCUGGACUGAUACUGACGCUGAGGCGCGAAAGCCAGGGGAGCAAACGGGGAUUAGAUACCCUGGUAGUCCCUGAGCGGGCUGGCAAGGCGCAU
rnacentral:rRNA from 1 species